rnacentral:rRNA from 1 species
CGGAGUGAACGCACCACUGGUGUUCGGGUUGUCAUGCCAAUGGCACUGCCCGGUAGCUAAGUGCGGAAAAGAUAAGUGCUGAAAGCAUCUAAGCACGAAACUUGCCCCGAGAUGAGUUCUCCCUGACUCCCAGAGAGUCCUGAAGGGACGUUGAAGACGACGACGUUGAUAGGCCGGGUGUGUAAGCGCAGCGAUGCGUUGAGCUAACCGGUACUAAUGACCCGUGAGGCUUAACCUUACAACGCCAGAGGCGUUU